GACGAACGCUGGCGGCGUGCUUAACACAUGCAAGUCGAACGGAGUGGCGAACGGGUGAGUAACACGUGGGUGACCUGCCCUGCACUUCGGGAUAAGCCUGGGAAACUGGGUCUAAUACCGGAUAGUGUGGGAUGGGCCCGCGGCCUAUCAGCUUGUUGGUGGGGUAAUGGCCUACCAAGGCGGCGACGGGUAGCCGGCCUGGGAGGGUGGACGGCCACCUGGGGCCUGAGAGACGGCCCAGACGCCAACGGGAGGCAGCAGGGGGGAAUAUUGCACAAUGGGGGGAAGCCUGAUGCGGAGGCGCCGCGUGGGGAAUGACCGGCUUCGGGGUGUAAACUCCUUUCACCAUCGACGCGGUAGAUGGAGAAGAAGCACCGGCUAACUACGUGCCAGCAGCCGCGGUAAUAC
rnacentral:rRNA from 1 species